rnacentral:misc_RNA from 1 species
GAUGAAGAACGCAGCGAAAUGCGAUAAGUAAUGUGAAUUGCAGAAUUCAGUGAAUCAUCGAAUCUUUGAACGCACCUUGCACCCUUUGGCAUUCCGAAGGGUAUGCUCGUUUGAGUGUCAUUGUACUCUCACACUUCUGAUCCUUUGGAUUGGGAGCGGUGGACUUGGGUGUUGCUGCUUUACUGUGGCUCACCUCAAAUACAUUCGUGCAACUCUUGGUUGGACAUAGUACGGCGUGAUAAGUAUCUUCGCCGGCACCUCGCAAGAGGGUGGCUGAUCAGGAGCUCUGUGCUUUCCAACUGUCUUCAGACAACAACUGACAACUUGACCUCAAAUCGAGUAGGACCACCCGCUGAACUUAAGCAUAUCAAUAAGCGGAGGA